rnacentral:rRNA from 1 species
CCUACGGGAGGCAGCAGUGGGGAAUAUUGGACAAUGGGCGCAAGCCUGAUCCAGCAAUGCCGCGUGUGUGAAGAAGGCCCUCGGGUUGUAAAGCACUUUUAUCAGGAGCGAAAUCUGCAAGGUUAAUACCUUUGCAGUCUGACGGUACCUGAGGAAUAAGCACCGGCUAACUCCGUGCCAGCAGCCGCGGUAAU